UAACGUCACCUGUCCAGAGGCUGCGCGCGCGUGAGCUCCUCCUCCGUCAGCGCCACUGUCUCGCGCUCUCUCCAGUGACCACAACACGCCGCACAAACAAGUCUCUCCGGCUGCGAUCAGUGCCUAUCCAGACAAGCACAUUUUGAUCUUCUUGAACGUGACGGGCAGCUGUCAGGUUUGAGGAUGGAUGAGUUACAGGAUGUGCAGUUGACUGAGAUCAAACCCCUCUUGACAGACAAGAAUGGACAGAACUUCCAGGACUUUGAUUGUCAGGUAAGAGUCUGUUAUGGUCAUUAGGC